UAAUAAGUGUUUUAUGGCACUUUUUAAAUCAUAUCCACCUUGUGUGCAAUGUCAGUCGAUCUUCUUCAUGGAGAUCGACCAAACAUCAACCUUUAUCUUUUAACUCUUUGUCUUAAAAAUAUUAUGAAUAAACAAUUCAAAAUA
rnacentral:misc_RNA from 1 species